rnacentral:rRNA from 1 species
AAGAGCAUUUGAAACAGCAAGACUUGAGUACAGGAGAGGAAAGCGGAAUUCCUGGUGUAGAGGUGAAAUUCGUAGAUAUCAGGAGGAACACCCAUGGCGAAGGCAGCUUUCUGGACUGAUACUGACGCUGAGGCGCGAAGGUGUGGGUAGCGAACAGGAUUAGAUACCCUGGUAGUCCACACAGUAAACGAUGUUCACUAGGUGUAGCGGGUAUUAAAACCUGCUGUGCCGGAGUUAACGCAUUAAGUGAACCGCCUGGGGAGUACGGUCGCAAGAUUAAAACUCAAAGGAAUUGACGGGGGCCCGCACAAGCGGUGGAGCAUGUGGUUUAAUUCGACGCAACGCGAAGAACCUUACCUGGAUUUGACAUCCUGUGAAUCCCCGAGAGAUCG